GAAAAACCCUAGCACCUCAUUCUCUGCCUCGGAGGCAUUGCCGGAGCCCGAGUUCUUCUCAGAGGAGUGUGGAGGGGUCUCAUAGUCCUCGUCGCGGUUGAAGAUGUGGACGGAGGUGAUCUCAAUGUCAGCAAAGCUCACGCGCCUUGAUCGCUUCUUCCUGAAAGCGAUAGUUUCCUCUUCGGUCUCGGUGUUGCAAGGGUCUUCAACGAUUGGAGGAUUUGAGGCCAUGAUUGAGUGGGCAAUUGAGAGAAUUGGAGAGGAACAUGAAAUUGACAGCUAGGGUUUCAAUUUGACUUGCAUUUUGGGAGAGUGGAAGUGAGAAC
rnacentral:misc_RNA from 1 species